rnacentral:rRNA from 1 species
AUUGAACGCUGGCGGCAGGCUUAACACAUGCAAGUCGAGCGGAGACUUCGGUCUUAGCGGCGAACGGGUGAGUAAUACCUAGGAAUCUGCCUAUUAGUGGGGGAUAACGAAUCGAAAGGUUCGCUAAUACCGCAUACGUCCUACGGGAGAAAGGGGGGGGAUCUUUGGACCUCUCGCUAAUAGAUGAGCCUAGGCCGGAUUAGCUAGUUGGUAGGGUAAAGGCCUACCAAGGCGACGAUCUGUAGCUGGUCUGAGAGGAUGGCCAGCCACACUGGAACUGAGACACGGUCCAGACUCCUACGGGAGGCAGCAGUGGGGAAUAUUGGACAAUGGGGGCAACCCUGAUCCAGCCAUGCCGCGUGUGUGAAGAAGGCCUUCGGGUUGUAAAGCACUUUAAGCGAGGAGGAAGGUUUUUAGUUUAAUACACUAAAGAAUUGACGUUACUCGCAGAAUAAGCACCGGCUAACUCUGUG